rnacentral:misc_RNA from 1 species
GAUCAUUACCGAGUGAGGGCCCUCUGGGUCCAACCUCCCACCCGUGUUUAUUUACCUUGUUGCUUCGGCGAGCCUGCCUUUUGGCUGCCGGGGGACGUCAGUCCCCGGGUCCGUGCUCGCCGGAGACACCUUAGAACUCUGUCUGAAGAUUGUAGUCUGAGAUUAAAUAUAAAUUAUUUAAAACUUUCAACAACGGAUCUCUUGGUUCCGGCAUCGAUGAAGAACGCAGCGAAAUGCGAUACGUAAUGUGAAUUGCAGAAUUCAGUGAAUCAUCGAGUCUUUGAACGCACAUUGCGCCCUCUGGUAUUCCGGAGGGCAUGCCUGUCCGAGCGUCAUUGCUGCCCUCAAGCACGGCUUGUGUGUUGGGCCCCGUCCUCCUUCCGGGGGACGGGUCCGAAAGGCAGCGGCGGCACCGCGUCCGGUCCUCAAGCGUAUGGGGCUUUGUCACUCGCUUUGUAGGCCUGGCCGGCGCUUGCCGAUCAACCAAACUUUUUAUCAGGUUGACCUCGGAUCAGGUAGGGAUACCCGCUGAACUUAAGCAUAUCAAUAAGCGGAGGAA